GAUGAACGCUGGCGGCGUGCCUAAUACAUGCAAGUCGAGCGAACAGACGAGGAGCUUGCUCCUCUGACGUUAGCGGCGGACGGGUGAGUAACACGUGGAUAACCUACCUAUAAGACUGGGAUAACUUCGGGAAACCGGAGCUAAUACCGGAUAAUAUAUUGAACCGCAUGGUUCAAUAGUGAAAGACGGUUUUGCUGUCACUUAUAGCUGGAUCCGCGCCGCAUUAGCUAGUUGGUAAGGUAACGGCUUACCAAGGCAACGAUGCGUAGCCGGCCUGAGAGGGUGAUCGGCCACACUGGAACUGAGACACGGUCCAGACUCCUGCGGGACGCAGCAGUAGGGAAUCUUCCGCAAUGGGCGAAAGCCUGACGGAGCAACGCCGCGUGAGUGAUGAAGGUCUUCGGAGCGUAAAACUCUGUUAUUAGGGAAGAACAAAUGUGUAAGUAACUAUGCACGUCUUGACGGUACCUAAUCAGAAAGCCACGGCUAACUACGUG
rnacentral:rRNA from 1 species